UGCGGUAUCCUGACCGUGCUAAGGUAGCAUAAUAGCUUGCCUUUUAAUUAAAGGCUUGUAUGAACGAACCAACGAGAGUUUGACUGUCUCCUAGAUAAACACGAAAUUUAACCUUUAUGUGAAAAGGCAUAAAUAAAACUAAAAGACAAAAAGACCCUGUCGAGCUUAAUUGCUAACCCCCCGAUAGAAAAAUAAUUUACUCUUUCCAGGAAAUAAACCAAUUUAGUUGGGGCAACAAGGGAACACCUAAACCUUCCCUUAUGAAAUUUAUUUUAAUCAAAAGACCCCCAAUCGGGCCAAAAGAUAAAAGCUACCGCAGGGAUAACAGGUUAAUUUUUCUCGAGAGUACACAUUAACAGAAAAGAUUGGCACCUCGAUGUUGGCUUAGGA
rnacentral:rRNA from 1 species